GGAAGCCAAGUGUUGCUUUGUGGGUGCCAGAUCCAUGGUGUCAUUUCUCUGUGCACGUCACAGCAGCUCCUGCAUUGAGCAUCUGC